ACUCGAGCAGGGCCUCGAUCUGCUCCUGGCAGGCCCGCAGGCAGUCCUGGGCGAGACGGCGCGGCUUCAGGGGCAGCCCGUCCUGGCCCCCUCCCAGAUGCUAGCGUUUCCGGACCCCGUGCCCACCGCAGAGGGACGUGGGAGCUGUGGCCCCAAACCCUGGGAACGCAAGGACGCAGCAGCCCCUCAACCCGCCCACGGCUGUAAUGCCCACACCCACCACUGGGGGGCCAGCAUGGAGGCAGAAAGUGCUGGAAACCGGCAACUCUGCCAAGCUCAAGCCCCAGGGAGCCCUUUUGAAGCCUCCAUUUACUGACCAUCCACAUUGUUACCCAAACAAAGCUCAGCCGGGCCCCAACUCCACAGAUCACUGACCCAGACGAGGGGCUGCGGCCCCUGCCCGCUCCGGCAGCCCCAGGGGGACGUGGGAAUCCGGUUCCCAGCGGCGCCCCCCAUGCAGGCGGCUGAAGCCCGGCCGCCCGGUUACGGCGGCACCAGGAAGCCCCCCGUCCUGGACCCCCAGGGACGGCCACUCACCGGGUCACACUUGAUCACCCUGGAGAGGAAGCGAGUGAGGCGGUGGUAGGAGAGAGAGCCACUGGUGCUUCCCAGAUGCAGGCCCUGCACAGCGGCCACCACGCUGCCCGCCGCCACCAUGGAGGGCGGGUUUGAAAUGAACUUCACGUCUGCGGACAGGAGAGGGGCAGGGGGUGUGUGUGGGCUGACACCGUGCACUUGGGUCAGCACAGGGCCCCUGAGGCCUCAUGGGGUGGGGGCACCCCCCAAGCGUCCCCUCCCAGUGAUGGCCAGGCCUGGGAUAGCAGCUCGGUGGGAUGGGGGGCACACGCGCCAGCUGCGUGGCUGUCUGAGGUCCUCUGCACACUCCUGCCCUCGAUGCUAGGAAGGGCCAUGGCUGGGGGCUCGGGAAUCUACAGCUAACGGGAAAAUGGAGCAAAAAACCCGUCAGCUUCAGCAAAUUAAAACAUCAGAACAAGAAG